GUGCCUUUCAGUGGGUAAAGGCUGAAAGGAUGACUUUCGCUUAAGUCUUUCCUGCUGCACCAAAGCAGUUCACGGUAUUUGCCCCAAGCUGCUUUCCCCACUGUAGGUGUGAGAUGUGGAUCCCUUAGCCCUUGGGGCAGAGACCCCAGGCCAGUUACCUCUGACUGUGAGCCCUUUAAACAUAGGCCAUUUCAAUAUUGUGUGUCCUGGCUUAACCUGCAUGUUCUGGUUGGCUGUGACAGGCCCUUAGCUGCUCCAUGCAUGCUCAGCUCACCCCUGCUUUGCCCUAGGAAGAUCUUUGCCUUUGACCUGGAUGCCAAGCGGCUGGCAUCCAUGGCCACGCUGCUGGCCCGGGCUGGCGUCUCUUGCUGUGAGCUGGCUGAGGAGGACUUCCUGGCGGUCUCCCCCUCGGAUCCGCGCUACCGUGAGGUCCACUACAUCCUGCUGGAUCCUUCCUGCAGUGGCUCGGGUAUGCCGAGCAGACAGCUGGAGGAGCCCGGGGCAGGCACACCUAGCCCGGUGCGUCUGCAUGCCCUGGCAGGGUUCCAGCAGCGAGCCCUGUGCCACGCGCUCAC
rnacentral:sRNA from 1 species